AAAAUAAAUCGAUAACGUUUUGCAAUACAAUUUUAUCCACACAAAGUAGCAAAUAAUAUUUUUGCACUGAAAGUUCAAAUUAUUUUUCAUGAAUUUCAUUUGUUAAGUUCAAUUCGUGAAAAAUAAUUUGAACUUUCAUUGACAAAAUAUUUUGCCGAAAAAUGAUAGGAUUCAGAAACACAUCUAAGAAAUAAAAUACCGGAGUGAAGUAAAUAAAAUAAUAGUAUAUCACCCUAAUUCACACACAAGAAAAAUGAAAAGCGAAAAAAGUUUUCGCCUUGUUUCGAUAGCCAUAGAGGGAAGGUGUUACGAAAUAUAAAACUUGCUUAUUUUAAGAAAAGACAAUGCUGUAAUUUAUUUCAACUUUGAUAAAUUUCUAACAUUUUCUUAUAUUUCAAGUUACACUGAAAUUUUGGCGUUUCAAAAGUAUGUGCACCAAGAUGACGCACAACCUGAAAACCCCAACCUGGUACACAUACUAUGUUCAGGUUGUGCGCAAUCUUGAAAAAAACACCCAAAUUUCAAGUUAUUGUGAGUUUUUUUUAACUAUUAGAUAACCAGGAAUAAAUAUGUUUGGAAAAAAUAAGUUAACAGCGUGAUUCAGAACAAUUCAAAGAUAUCAUAUACCACAGCAAAUAUAAUAAAAAAUAUCAUCAAUCCUUAUAAUUCACACUAGAGCUAAGAUCUGGAGCCCGAGCCCCUGCCCGACCCGAUAUUUCGAGUCGGGUCGGGCCUGAAAUAUCAAGCAUUGCGUUCGGGUCGGGCCUAUAUUGUUAAUCAUUACGUUCGGGUCGGGCCUGAAAUGACAAUCAUUACGUUCGGGUCGGGCUUAUAUAUCGCUGGAUUUUCAUUCUAAGUUAACAGCGUGAUUCAGAACAAUUCAAAGAUAUCAUAUACCAGAGCAAAUAUAAUAAAAAAUAUCAUCAAUCCUUAUAAUUCACACACAAGA